CCAGUAUAGUACCACCAACAGUAACAAUAUAUAACAAGAGCAAAUGGAAAAUGAUGCAGCUUUAAAGCUCCACGAAUACCUAAGGAAAUCCCUGGGAGGUUAGAGGUAUUUCUACUGCCGCAGUUAAUUACACUAGAACAAAUUACAACAGAGAAGCACCAUGUAUCACUCAAAAUAUUUUGAGUUAAGACUCUUAUCUUUAGAAAAUGAAGGGCACAAUCCAAUUUCUCACAGACAAGAGCUAUGUCAGAAUAUGGAUUCCAGGUUUGUUGUUUAUGUAACAUUGUGUAGUCCCAUGAAUGAUUUCCAUUAUGUUUCUUCUUUUUCAUUCCAGCUGCAGCAGUCCACGUAGAAUCAUAAAUUCUUGGAGGAUACAACUUGAGAGUUUCCACAAUAACGUCGCGCUCCUUAACAUUGGACCAAAUAGCAGAGAUGGUGUAUGUUGCACUGC
rnacentral:lncRNA from 1 species